rnacentral:lncRNA from 1 species
AACAGCUUCUCCAAUUCAGCGACCCUUCGAGCGAGGGGGUCGGAUUCUCCUUCGUGAGGGGACGAAUGGGGUCUGUCCUUCUCACGUUCGGGAAUCUCCUCUUUCCUCCUCUGCCCAGACCGACCCGGGUGCUCGGAACGUCGUCCUGCUGACCGGCUUCUUCUCCGGCUUCGGCCAUCCCUCGAACGACUUCGAUACCUACUUUUCUC